UACAGUCAUGUCAGAUUGAAAAACCAGUUCUCAUAAGAUCACCAAAAUUAAGCAACCUCUAGCCUGAUCAGUAUUGAGAAGAGUAACCACUUGGGAAUACCAGUUGCUGUAUG